rnacentral:pre_miRNA from 1 species
AGUAAACCAAUCUUUUACUUUUUACCUAUAAUGUUUGAUUCUUCAUCUCAUUAAAAAAAUUAUGAUUAACAUUUUUGUUUUUAUUAGAUGAUAAAACAUGAAUAAUACUUUACGUGUGACUAAUUUUUUUAAUUACUUAGCAAAUUUUCAAAUAAGACCGAUGGUCAAAUGUUGGAUACGAAAACCAAAAGUUUGCCUUAUU